rnacentral:lncRNA from 1 species
CGGCCCCUUUUCCUAGCCGGUCAACGCCUCCAGCCGUCCAGAGCGCCUUUGUCUCCUUCCUAGAGCCACUGGCUGAUGGGGCAGCGGGGGACGCGGACCCCGGCGCUGCGGUCCGCCAGGAGCGGCGCGGCCGGUGUGUCCCGGCUGCGAGGGCCACGGCAGCCGUGAGUUCCCAAGGUCACAGAGGCCUCGGUGAGCCGUGAAACCGCUCCCCACCACCCACACCUGGCCCUCGGCCCCGAGCGAAAAGUUGCUGCUGGUUCACGUGGGCCGAUGAGGUCCGGUGUCCAGCGGGUGAGAAAGAGCAGCACCCUUCGUGUGGUCCCUGCCAGCGGGGUGAGCUGGAGACCUGUCUGGACAGCUGGAACUGUAGUGCAUGCAGAUCCCACUGUGAAUGCAGCAGAGAUAGAGCAGCAGACAAGAAUCACUCCACUUGUUUGCACUAGUGCAGCCACAGCAAAGAUAAAAGUCCCAGUGUUACAGCUUUUACCCAGGUUGCUGAAUUGUCGGCAUAUUUGGAAGAGAUGGAUGUCUCCAGUGACAUAUGGAUGUGCUGCACACAUUGCCUGUGCCCUGUGUAAGGCUGAGUGCUCAGAAGAAGCCCAGACAGCUUCCUUGCCCUGCCUGGCUCAGGAAACGUGGACACAGAGCCAUGAGGAAUGA